rnacentral:rRNA from 2 species
CGGUAAUACGUAGGUGGCAAGCGUUGUCCGGAUUUAUUGGGCGUAAAGCGAGCGCAGGCGGUUUUUUAAGUCUGAUGUGAAAGCCUUCGGCUUAACCGGAGAAGUGCAUCGGAAACUGGGAGACUUGAGUGCAGAAGAGGACAGUGGAACUCCAUGUGUAGCGGUGGAAUGCGUAGAUAUAUGGAAGAACACCAGUGGCGAAGGCGGCUGUCUAGUCUGUAACUGACGCUGAGGCUCGAAAGCAUGGGUAGCGAACAGGAUUAGAUACCCUGGUAGUCCAUGCCGUAAACGAUGAGUGCUAAGUGUUGGAGGGUUUCCGCCCUUCAGUGCUGCAGCUAACGCAUUAAGCACUCCGCCUGGGGAGUACGACCGCAAGGUUGAAACUCAAAGGAAUUGACGGGGGCCCGCACAAGCGGUGGAGCAUGUGGUUUAAUUCGAAGCUACGCGAAGAACCUUACCAGGUCUUGACAUCUUCUGCCAAUCUUAGAGAUAAGACGUUCCCUUCGGGGACAGAAUGACAGGUGGUGCAUGGUUGUCGUCAGCUCGUGUCGUGAGAUGUUGGGUUAAGUCCCGCAACGAGCGCAACCCUUAUUAUCAGUUGCCAGCAUUCAGUUGGGCACUCUGGUGAGACUGCCGGUGACAAACCGGAGGAAGGUGGGGAUGACGUCAAAUCAUCAUGCCCCUUAUGACCUGGGCUACACACGUGCUACAAUGGACGGUACAACGAGUUGCGAAGUCGUGAGGCUAAGCUAAUCUCUUAAAGCCGUUCUCAGUUCGGAUUGUAGGCUGCAACUCGCCUACAUGAAGUUGGAAUCGCUAGUAAUCGCGGAUCAGCAUGCCGCGGUGAAUACGUUCCCGGGCCUUGUACACACCGCCCGUCACACCAUGAGAGUUUGUAACACCCAAAGCCGGUGAGAUAACC